GGAGAGAUGGCCGAGUGGUUGAAGGCGCUCGCCUGGAACGCGUGUAGGCUCGUAAGGGUCUCGUGGGUUCGAAUCCCACUCUCUCCGCCA
rnacentral:tRNA from 1 species